GCCUGAGUGGCUCAGUCGGUUAAGUGUCUGACUUCAGCUCAGAUCAUGAUCUCAUGGUUCGUAAGUUCGAGCCCCACGUCGGGCU
rnacentral:tRNA from 1 species